rnacentral:snoRNA from 1 species
UUCCUCUCGGGAUCGCACCUGGAGAGUUUCCAGUACUCUACCAGUUUCGGCUAAGGGAGGGAGAGUCAAGCAGAGGCAUACCCAUUCCAUUCCUGGUUUGGGCAGUGGCUAGAAAGUGGAAGGUGAUCUGCCUAAAGU